ACUUAACUGCAAAUUCUCCUUCCUUGCAUCAGAACUGUUUGUGGGCUUCAUAUAAUUGGGCAACAAAUAUGGUGUCUUCAUCAGAGAUUGUUUCUGUGGAGUAACAGCAGCACUAGAUACAUUGGCAGUUGUUAAAUCAAAACCCAUCUUUGU